rnacentral:rRNA from 1 species
GAUGAACGCUGGCGGCGUGCCUAAUACAUGCAAGUCGAGCGGACGGACGAGAAUCUUGCUUCUCUGAUGUUAGCGGCGGACGGGUGAGUAACACGUGGAUACCCUACCUAUCAGACUGGGAUCACUUCGGGAAACCGGAUCUAAUCCCGUAUAAUAUUUUGAACCGCAUGGUUCAAAAGUGAGAGACGGUCUUGCUGUAUCUUCUAGCUGGAUCCGCGCUGCAUUAGCUAGUUGGUAAGGUAACGGCUUACCAAGGCAACGAUGCAUAGCCGACCUGAGAGGGGGAUCGGCCACACUGGAACUGAGACACGGUCCAGACUCCUACGGGAGGCAGCAGUAGGGAAUCUUCCGCAAUGGGCGAAAGCCUGACGGAGCAACGCCGCGUGAGUGAUGAAGGUCUUCGGAGCGUAAAACUCUGUUAUUAGGGAAGAACAUAUGUGUAAGUAACUGUGCACAUCGUGACGGUACCUAAUCAGAAAGCCACGGCUAACUACGUG